AACGAACGCUGGCGGCAUGCCUAACACAUGCAAGUCGAACGAGACCUUCGGGUCUAGUGGCGCACGGGUGCGUAACGCGUGGGAACCUGCCCUUAGGUUCGGAAUAACUCAGAGAAAUGUGUGCUAAUACCGGAUGAUGUCUUCGGACCAAAGAUUUAUCGCCUUUAGAUGGGCCCGCGUUGGAUUAGCUAGUUGGUGGGGUAAAGGCCUACCAAGGCGACGAUCCAUAGCUGGUCUGAGAGGAUGAUCAGCCACACUGGGACUGAGACACGGCCCAGACUCCUACGGGAGGCAGCAGUGGGGAAUAUUGGACAAUGGGCGAAAGCCUGAUCCAGCAAUGCCGCGUGAGUGAUGAAGGCCUUAGGGUUGUAAAGCUCUUUUACCCGGGAUGAUAAUGACAGUAUCGGGAGAAUAAGCUCCGGCUAACUCCGUG
rnacentral:rRNA from 1 species